rfam:Salmo salar isolate Sally breed double haploid chromosome ssa14, whole genome shotgun sequence.
CCCCAUGUGGUUCACUUGGUAGAGCAUGGUACUUGCAAUGCCAGGGUUGUGGGUUUGAUUCCCACGGGGG